UUUCCUUCGGGACAGUGGUGACAGGUGGUGCAUGGUUGUCGUCAGCUCGUGUCGUGAGAUGUUGGGUUAAGUCCCGCAACGAGCGCAACCCUUAUCCUUAGUAGCCAGCAGGUGAAGCUGGGCACUCUGGGGAAACUGCCGGGGAUAACCUGGAGGAGGGGGGGGAUGACGUCAAAUCAUCUUGCCCCUUAUGACUGGGGCUACACACGUGCUACAAGGGCGUAAACAAAGUGAAGCAAACCCGUGAGGUCAAGCAAAUCACAAAAAUAACGUCUCAUUUCGAAUUGUAGUCUGCACCUCGACUACAUGAAGCUGGAAUCGCUAGUAAUCGCAAAUCAAAAUGCUGCGGUAAAUACUUUCCCGGGUUUUG
rnacentral:rRNA from 1 species